ACCAGAAGAGUCUCCUACAGAUCUUGUAUGAUAACGCAACAAGCGCGCCAUCUCAGAUCCCCCGCUCGCGCUAUUUGUUACAAAGUGGAAUGGUGUAUUCGGAAAUGAAUGCGGUUUACAAGGAAAUCUACGGUUUUAGAGGAGUCAAGAAUCGCUUCUACAGCUGAGAUAACUCAACCAGAUUAUAAGACAGGUUCCUUAUCGUAAAUGUCAAAUGGUGAAGUUACCCGUGUUUUACAUCAGGGUCUUCUGAUGAAUUUGAAGUUAACCAACUAUUCUAAGUAUAAACCGUGUCUCAGGUUAUGACGAAUCGCAUAAACAGUGGAUCAAGUGAAUCACAGCUAGAGCUCUCUGAACAGAAUUUGCUCUAUAAUUUGGAGCAAUAUUACCACCGCAGUUACGGGAGAUGUGCAGGAUCACACGAUCUAGUCAUUCAGUUAUAACAAUGAAAAUGGGUUAUCAUUGUGAAUAUCUUGUCAUAUUUUCUUUGUCUAGUUUAAUAUAUUAUGUUUGAUUCCAUUAUAUUGUUCCUAAUUAAACAAAAAAUUUAUAUAACAUUGUCAUUGAUACGAUUUAACCCUUAAAUUAAAUGUACUAAUAACCGAAUACAGAAACGAAUAUGUGAUAAAUA